rnacentral:rRNA from 1 species
CCAGACUCCUACGGGAGGCAGCAGUGGGGAAUAUUGCACAAUGGGGGGAACCCUGAUGCAGCGACGCCGCGUGGGUGAAGGAGCACCUCGGUGCGUAAAGCCCUAUCGGCAGGGAAGAAAAGCGAACAGGUUCGCCUGGACGGUACCUGACUAGGAAGCCCCGGCUAACUACGUGCCAGCAGCCGCGGUAAUACGUAGGGGGCAAGCGUUAUCCGGAUUCACUGGGUGUAAAGGGAGCGUAGACGGCAUGGCAAGUCAGAUGUGAAAGCCCGGGGCUCAACCCCGGGACUGCAUUUGAAACUGUCAGGCUGGAGUGCAGGAGAGGUAAGUGGAAUUCCUAGUGUAGCGGUGAAAUGCGUAGAUAUUAGGAGGAACACCAGUGGCGAAGGCGGCUUACUGGACUGUAACUGACGUUGAGGCUCGAAAGUGUGGGGAGCAAACAGGAUUAGAUACCCCAGUACCA